CUGUAUAUUCUUUUAUUUAUAUCUUUUUAUUGUUGUAAGUAGUAAAUUAGAUUUAUUUCGUAAGUAGUACCCUUCCAAAGGGGUUGCUACAGCCUCCGCAGUGAAGUCUUGAGGAUCAACUCCCUUGUGCAAUGUCAACCACUUCGGGGUCACCCCAUCAUGCAAUUUGUCCACCAACCAUUGGUUUCCUCCUGCUUUUGCUCUGUCUCUGUAAACCUAAUCAAAGGGUUCCUCUUGUUCAGCUUCGGGGACAUGUUUUUGCUUAAUUUCAUUGUGUUCCGAAUCUAUUUUAUUCCCAAAAUACCUAUAAAUUCGACCAACAAUGUCAAAAGCUCAUAUAGACAUUUAAAACGAUGUAUUAAGAAGUAUUUAAGCCAAAACAAUGGGCAGAAAGGGUCCUGGGCAGAGCUGUGCAAAGCUACUAUUUUUUGCCAUUUUGGGGACUGCCAGGAAUUGCUCUUCACGUUCGCGUAAGUUCCCUUGCAUUUGCGAAGAGAAAACAUUAUUCGCCCAGAAAUAGGCCUUUGCGUCCGCGAGAAGACCAUUGCGUUCGCGAAGAGCAUUUUUAUUGCCCAAAGAUACUUUUCUUUCAGGCAUUUUUUCAAACAGUUGGUGUGCCUUCUUUUCUUUGUUCAUUUUUUAGUUCAUUGUAGCACAAAUCUUGCCCAAUUUUCUUCAAUAAUAAGACGCUCACACUCAACCAACCUCACAUAGCAAGAAACAACAAAUUUCACCCCCAAGGUUAACAUUUAAGACUCAAAAUUUUGAACCCUAAGCACAAAACAACCAUGGCUGCUCUUCUACCAUUUCACACCAAGAAAAGGAAGAAAAAGUAGGAGACUAGAGAGAAAAUCACAUACCUUGAGAAUGGCGAGGGAGAUUGCAAUGAAAUUCAAGAUUAUGGGGAAUUUAGUAUUUAAUUUGGGGUUCAAGGAGUAGGACGAACUGUUCUUGAGGAAAGAGAGGGAUUAAACGUUGAUUUCCAGUGUUUAAUAUUUUUUAAACUUACCUGAGGCUCGCGUUUG
rnacentral:lncRNA from 1 species